CGUUGCCUCACAAAUUAGGAAAUCGGGCACCAAGCAGCCCUGAUGCGGAACUAAUUUCAAGAUGGCCACAGGAAGUAUCAUGGAUUUUGAUUAAAAGUUGGAGAGGAUAUGAGACACUUGGUCUGCAAGAGAGAAAAUUCUUUAAUAUCUAGUUAAAAUAUGAAGGGAUAUCUCUGUAACCAUCACAAUCAACGAGAGCUUAGUUUAUUGUGCAUGAGCACAUUUUAUAGGUUAAUACAACGUGGGCAGGCCAGACACACUAAGUUCUGACGUCAUUACCCCACCUACCCCACUAUCAUACACAGACGUAACCUUGUGCUGAGAUUAUUCCAGGGUUGGGGGAGAUGAGCACAUGUUCCCCUCACGGUGAAGGACCUGUGAUGCAGUAGUAACUCCAGGCUGGAGAGGGUGACACCUAGUGGAGCAGGCAGGGUACAGCUUUAAGAGAAGUUGGCCGCCAGAUUCAGACUGAUCUCGGUGCCUAAAUUAAAGGGACUCUCCAAUCACCUAAAGCUCUAUUUUUUUCAGUUUCCAAAAAGGGCAGAUUCAGUAGAAAUUGGCACUUUUAUAAAAGAACCUUGUUACACCCACCGUCAGUCAAUCAAUCAGACAACCGGUCCUGUUACUUCCUGGUUUGGUUAGCUCAGUGAAGCUAAACUCAAGAGGCAGCAAUUGCCCAGAGCACCUGUCUUGCAAAGACUUCUCAUUGAGCUGUAUUGGGAAGUUUGUGAUUGGACAGCCAC